rnacentral:tRNA from 1 species
GCAAUGGUGAGAUGCUCGGGUACUGCCCUCCGAAGGCAGGGGUUGCUGGUUCGAUCCCAGCCGGGUGCGCCA